rnacentral:rRNA from 1 species
UGGCUCAGGACGAACGCUGGCGGCGUGCCUAAUACAUGCAAGUCGAGCGGAUGAUGGAGGAGCUUGCUCCUCCUGAUUCAGCGGCGGACGGGUGAGUAACACGUGGGCAACCUGCCCUGUAGAUUGGGAUAACUCCGGGAAACCGGGGCUAAUACCGAAUAAUCCACCGGACCUCAUGGUCUGGUGUUGAAAGACGGCAUCUCGCUGUCACUACAGGAUGGGCCCGCGGCGCAUUAGCUAGUUGGUGAGGUAACGGCUCACCAAGGCCACGAUGCGUAGCCGACCUGAGAGGGUGAUCGGCCACACUGGGACUGAGACACGGCCCAGACUCCUACGGGAGGCAGCAGUAGGGAAUCUUCCACAAUGGGCGAAAGCCUGAUGGAGCAACGCCGCGUG